AGCGAGCUAAAACAUGCAAGUCGAACGGUAGCACAGAGAGCUUGCUCUCGGGUGACGAGUGGCGGACGGGUGAGUAAUGUCUGGGAAACUGCCUGAUGGAGGGGGAUAACUACUGGAAACGGUAGCUAAUACCGCAUAACGUCGCAAGACCAAAGAGGGGGACCUUCGGGCCUCUUGCCAUCAGAUGUGCCCAGAUGGGAUUAGCUAGUAGGUGGGGUAACGGCUCACCUAGGCGACGAUCCCUAGCUGGUCUGAGAGGAUGACCAGCCACACUGGAACUGAGACACGGUCCAGACUCCUACGGGAGGCAGCAGUGGGGAAUAUUGCACAAUGGGCGCAAGCCUGAUGCAGCCAUGCCGCGUGUAUGAAGAAGGCCUUCGGGUUGUAAAGUACUUUCAGCGGGGAGGAAGGUGUUGUGGUUAAUAACCACAGCAAUUGACGUUACCCGCAGAAGAAGCACCGGCUAACUCCGUGCCAGCAGCCGCGGUAAUACGGAGGGUGCAAGCGUUAAUCGGAAUUACUGGGCGUAAAGCGCACGCAGGCGGUCUGUCAAGUCGGAUGUGAAAUCCCCGGGCUCAACCUGGGAACUGCAUUCGAAACUGGCAGGCUGGAGUCUUGUAGAGGGGGGUAGAAUUCCAGGUGUAGCGGUGAAAUGCGUAGAGAUCUGGAGGAAUACCGGUGGCGAAGGCGGCCCCCUGGACAAAGACUGACGCUCAGGUGCGAAAGCGUGGGGAGCAAACGGAUUAAA
rnacentral:rRNA from 1 species